rnacentral:rRNA from 1 species
CACAUGCAGUCGAGCGGUAGAGAGAAGCUUGCUUCUCUUGAGAGCGGCGGACGGGUGAGUAAUACCUAGGAAUCUGCCUGAUAGUGGGGGAUAACGUUCGGAAACGGACGCUAAUACCGCAUACGUCCUACGGGAGAAAGCAGGGGACCUUCGGGCCUUGCGCUAUCAGAUGAGCCUAGGUCGGAUUAGCUAGUUGGUGAGGUAAUGGCUCACCAAGGCUACGAUCCGUAACUGGUCUGAGAGGAUGAUCAGUCACACUGGAACUGAGACACGGUCCAGACUCCUACGGGAGGCAGCAGUGGGGAAUAUUGGACAAUGGGCGAAAGCCUGAUCCAGCCAUGCCGCGUGUGUGAAGAAGGUCUUCGGAUUGUAAAGCACUUUAAGUUGGGAGGAAGGGCAGUUACCUAAUACGUGAUUGUCUUGACGUUACCGACAGAAUAAGCACCGGCUAACUCUGUGCCAGCAGCCGCGGUAAUACAGAGGGUGCAAGCGUUAAUCGGAAUUACUGGGCGUAAAGCGCGCGUAGGUGGUUUGUUAAGUUGAAUGUGAAAUCCCCGGGCUCAACCUGGGAACUGCAUCC